GGGGAGCCCUGGAGGCAGCCUUGGGGCCCUGAGCUCUAACAGUCAGGAGAGGCCUCAGGUGGGGGUUCUUCUGUGCCUGGGGCCAGAGCCACGGCAAGGACAGCCAGGGCCUGUGUGAAUGAGAAGAAGACGCCCUUCCUCCCUCAGGGACUCGGUCCUGGCCAGGCCCCGUGAGCCGCCACAGAUGCCCUCAGCGGGGCCCUUGUGUGGGACACAACCUGUGCACCGUGUGUGAGGACCUAACAAGUGAGUGGGUUGCUGCCAACACGGCUCCUGGGACAGGCUGGGCCUAGGAACCGGUGGGGUCCUGCUCUGAUCCGUGACACCUCCAGCGUUGGAGAUGGCCUGGCCCAGGGGAGCCAUAACAGACCUGACCACGGAGGCCCUACCCACCCAACCACCAGGGCUCGGAGAGGCUGAGUAAUGUGGAAUGUGGACACCCGAGUGAAGCAGCCAUGAAGCUUUACUACCUGGUCAGUCAGUGCUCUGGUAACCUGUCUGGCCCCUUUCCUCCUCCCCUCUGCUCUGCAGGUGUGGGGUUGGGGAGGCGCCAGUGAGAGAGAGCCCACAGUGAUUCCAUGUCCCCUUUGCCGCCGCCCCCCCCCCCCCCCAGUGACAAACACAUGCAUUUCUGUGAUGGGCCAGAUGUGGCAGUGGGAGAGAAGCAGAGUUUAAUCUAAAAUGGUGGAAUGGAAAAAAAAUAAAAAUAAAAUAUAAAUAAAAUGGUGGAAUGGUGGGAAGAAUGAAGAGAAGGUGAUUAGUGCUCAACUCAGAGAAGACAGGGGAACAAUUACUUUAAAAGGUUUUAAUUGGUCUUGUUCUGAAGAACUCACUUGUCCUGUGCUAAAAUCCCAGGCCAGCUCAGACCUGCAGCUCCGGAUUGCCCAAGUGCCUCCCUGUUUUCCCCUUUGAACACUAGCUCUCAGAGCAAAUGCCUCUAUCACCCGACCUCUGAUGUUUUCUCCCUUUUGAGGUGUGUGUGUGUGUGUGUGUGCGUGUGUAGUUAGCUGGCUGCUUAUCUAUCUUUAUAUAGCAGGUCUCCAGGCUGGCAGGUCAGAGGCUUGGCCAGAGCAGGACCUCUCUAAUUUACUCUCCCAGCCCUGCAGCCUGACUCACUUGGGGCGGGUCUACAUCACAGUCUAAGUAUACUGAAUGAGGAAGGUGGCUUCAAGCAAACUGGAAACCAUUUCGAAGACGAGAGUAGGCACACAAGUGAACACAUAGCUACUCAAACCACAGCAGCCAACCAAUGGGGGUUGGGGGGGGUCCUCCACCAAACCCCAAACUAGUUUUAAAGUUGUUUACAGAUGAUUGGUUUGCACUAGAUAAUAAAGCUAGGCUACUUCCCACCCCGCGGACUGCUUGCAUCUCGAAGGGAGAAGAUGGGUUAGAUCGACUCUUUGAACAAAUGGCCAAUUCUAGGGCUGGGGCAGGAAAUACUGGAGCCUAGAGCAUUUUGUAGUGCCAGGAAUUAGGGAAGUGCUCCAAGAUCACAAGGAUGGGGAUGUGUUAGAGGAACCAACCUGAAACAGCUCCUGGUAGCCAAAGCUGCAACAGUGUGAGCAAAAGUAAAUAAAUAAUAUAUUGGGUUUUCAUCCAAAGUAUAAUAAAAUAAGUAUCCAUGAAGGAAUUCAUACUGAUACCAAGAAAUGAUUGAGGCAUAAAUAAGCAAGUGAGGGAGAAGAGUCAAAUCUCCUGUAUUC